UACGAAGGGGGCUAGCGUUGUUCGGAAUUACUGGGCGUAAAGCGCGCGCAGGCGGUCUUCCAAGUCAGUGGUGAAAGCCCGGAGCUCAACUCCGGAAAUGCCAUUGAAACUGUAAGACUUGAGGAUGAGAGAGGUGAGUGGAAUUCCCAGUGUAGAGGUGAAAUUCGUAGAUAUUGGGAAGAACACCAGUGGCGAAGGCGGCCGGCUGGGGGCGCCCUGACGCUGAGGCGCGAGAGCGUGGGGAGCAAACCGG
rnacentral:rRNA from 1 species